UAGGGAAUCUUCGGCAAUGGACGGAAGUCUGACCGAGCAACGCCGCGUGAGUGAAGAAGGUUUUCGGAUCGUAAAGCUCUGUUGUAAGAGAAGAACGAGUAUGAGAGUGGAAAGUUCAUACUGUGACGGUAUCUUACCAGAAAGGGACGGCUAACUACGUGCCAGCAGCCGCGGUAAUACGUAGGUCCCGAGCGUUGUCCGGAUUUAUUGGGCGUAAAGCGAGCGCAGGCGGUUAGAUAAGUCUGAAGUUAAAGGCUGUGGCUUAACCAUAGUACGCUUUGGAAACUGUUUAACUUGAGUGCAAGAGGGGAGAGUGGAAUUCCAUGUGUAGCGGUGAAAUGCGUAGAUAUAUGGAGGAACACCGGUGGCGAAAGCGGCUCUCUGGCUUGUAACUGACGCUGAGGCUCGAAAGCGUGGGGAGCAAACAGGAUUAGAUACCCUGGUAGUCCACGCCGUAAACGAUGAGUGCUAGGUGUUAGACCCUUUCCGGGGUUUAGUGCCGUAGCUAACGCAUUAAGCACUCCGCCUGGGGAGUACGACCGCAAGGUUG
rnacentral:rRNA from 1 species